rnacentral:ncRNA from 1 species
AUAAAGUUUUAUCUUGGCUUUAUUAUUUUUUGUUGUGUAAUUUUACAUGUAAAAUUUAAAGGGUUUAAAUGUAUUUCUUAAGGAAAUUUAAUUAUUGAUAUUCGCAGUAUUUUAUAUUAAAAAUUAAUGAUAGUUAGAAUUAGUUAAUACAUAUAGUUCUGGUUAAAUUUGUGCCAGCUACCGCGGUUAUACAAAAGGGGUAAAAGAAUAUUAUUAGUUAAAAUUAUCUGUUGGUUAAAGAUUUUAAAUAUUAAAUAGUUAGGUGAAAUUUUUAUUUAAAGGAUUUUCUAUAAUUAUAAUGGGAGGUUAGAAAAUUAAAUUAUAAACUGGGAUUAGAUACCCCAUUAUUUUGAUUGUUAUAAAAAUAACUAGAGUAGUAAGAGUUAUGGUCUUGAAACUCAAAAGAUUUGGCGGUGUUUUAACCUUAUCAGAGGAACUUGCCCUGUAAUCGAUAAUCCCCGUUUAUGCUACUUAAAUUGAUGUAGUUUGUAUACCGCCGUCAACAGAGUAAUUUAAAAGAUGCUAUUCAAGAAUUUACAUGAAAAUAUAUGUCAGGUCAAGGUGCAGCUAAUGUUUAAGCAGAGGUGAGUUACAAUAAAAAUAUUUAAAUGGAUUAUAUUUUGUAAUAAAUAUUUGAAGGUGGAUUUGGUUGUAAUAUAAUUUAUAUAGAUUAUAUGAUAAGGCUCUAAAACAAGUACACAUCGCCCGUCGCUCUCAUUUAUUAAGGUGAGAUAAGUCGUAACAUAGUAAGUGCACCGGAAGGUGUAUUUAGAAAGUUAAC